GACGAACGCUGGCGGCGUGCCUAAUACAUGCAAGUCGAGCGAACUAUUUAAAAGCUUGCUUUUGAAUAGUUAGCGGCGGACGGGUGAGUAACACGUGGGCAACCUGCCCUAUAGCUUGGGAUAACUCGCGGAAACGCGAGCUAAUACCGAAUAAUACAUUAAAGCUCCUGCUUGAAUGUUGAAAGAUGGUUUACGCUAUCGCUAUAGGAUGGGCCCGCGGCGCAUUAGCUAGUAGGUGAGGUAAUGGCUCACCUAGGCAACGAUGCGUAGCCGACCUGAGAGGGUGAUCGGCCACACUGGGACUGAGACACGGCCCAGACUCCUACGGGUGGCAG
rnacentral:rRNA from 1 species